ACCCUAAGAGAAGCACAAACAUCUUCUCUUCCUAGCAUAAACGCAGAAGAAAAUGUUCAAGGAAACCUUUCACUUGUUGCAAUCUUUUAAUUCUUUGACAUUAGGGCUUCUAGCCAUCUUCCUCAUUCUCCUAUACAAAUGGUCUUCUAGUAGCACAAGAAGCUCAUCACCUUCUCCACCAAAGCUCCCCAUCAUCGGAAACCUUCACCAACUAGGGUUACACCCUCACCGCUCACUUCAAGCAUUGUCUCAAAUCCAUGGCAAUGUCAUGCUCCUCCGUUUUGGGAGUGUUCCUGUCCUCGUCGUCUCCUCGUCUGAGGCUGCCAGUGAAAUCAUGAAAACCCAAGACCUAGCAUUCUCGGACCGCCCCAAGUCGACCAUCUUCCAGAAGCUUCUGUACAACUACAAUGACGUCUCAACCGCACCUUAUGGUGAGUACUGGAGGCAGGUGAAGGGCAUAUGCGUUUCUCAUCUCCUCAGCAACAAAAGGGUGCAUUCCUUUCGUACUGUUAGAGAAGAGGAAACAAGAAUCAUGAUGAAGAAGAUAGAGGAGUCCAUGUCAUCCUCAGGAGUUGUGAAUUUAACCAAUAGGUUUAUCACUCUCACGAACGAUGUCAUCUGUACGAUAGCUCUGGGGAGAAAAUACAGUGGUGGAGAAGGUGGAAAGAUUUUUAAUGAGAUUUUGGGGGAGUUUAUGGAGUUACUGGGACGUUCUUAUAUUGGGGACUAUAUUCCAUGGCUUUGCUUGGUUGAGCAGUGUUAAUGGUUUAGAUGCCAAAUUAGACAAGGUCGCUAAAAGGUUUGAUGAGUUUCGGGAUGGGAUUAUUCAAGAGCAUAUAAAUCGUAGUCCAAAGAAUGGAAAAAGUGAUCAACAUAUUGAUGAACAUAAAGAUUUUGUGGACGUUUUGCUUUGGAUACAAAAAGAGAACAUGGCUGGUUUUCCUGUUGGAAGAGUCAGCAUAAAGGCUCUCAUCUUGGAUAUGUUUACCGCUGGCACGGAUACAUAUACAAUCAUAGAUUGGGCGAUGUCCGAACUUUUAAGGAAUCCAAGGGUCAUGAAAAAAUUGCAGAAUGAGGUGAGGGGAAUAGUUGUAAACAAAAGAGAGAUAACAGAAGAUGAUCUGGUUGGAAUGCAUUACUUGCAGGCAGUGAUGAAGGAGACUCUUCGCUUACACCCUCCUGUUCCAUUACUAAUGCCUAGAAAGGCAACCCAAGAUGUGAAGGUACAAGGUUAUGACAUCAAAGCCAAUACAGUGGUUAUAGUCAAUGCAUGGCAAAUUGGGAGAGAUCCUAAAUCGUAUGACAAUCCAGAAGAGUUCGAGCCAGAAAGAUUUUUGAUCACUAAUAGUGAUACAGAUUACAAAGGAAAGGACUUCCAGUUGAUCCCAUUUGGAGCUGGAAGGAGGGGUUGCCCCGGAAUCAAUUUUGCCAUGGCUGUUAAUGAGAUUGCUUUGGCAAACUUGGUGCACAAGUUCGACUGGUCACUGCCCGAUGGAGUAAAACCUAGGGAUUUAGACAUGACUGAAUCUUGCGGCUUAACCAAACGUAGAAAAUACCCUCUUAAAGCCAUUGCUGUUUCUCAUUCAGCUGAUUAACUGCUCAGAUCGAUCGCUCAAUGGGACAAUGGCUUUCAGCGUUUCUAUAUAAGCCAACUAUAUAUCCAGGCCUGCAUGCAUAUAUGUCGUGGAGAAACCUAUAUUAAGUUUGAAUAUCUGUAUGCAAAUCAACAUGUAUCAAUUUGGGUCUACCCAAAUUUCGUUUCGCUAA